CCUACGGGGGGCUGCAGUGGGGAAUAUUGGACAAUGGGCGCAAGCCUGAUCCAGCAAUGCCGCGUGUGUGAAGACGGCCUGCGGGUUGUAAAGCACUUUCAGUGGGGAGGAAGGCCUCGAUAUUAAUACUAUUGCGGAUUGACGUUACCCACAGAAGAAGCACCGGCUAACUCUGUGCCAGCAGCCGCGGUAAUACAGAGGGUGCAAGCGUUAAUCGGAAUUAGUGGGGGUAAAGUGGUAGGAGGUGGGUGAAAGCCCCGGGCUCAACCUGGGAAUGGCGUUUGAUACUGAGGAGCUUGAGUAUGGUAGAGGGAAGUGGAAUUUCCAGUGUAGCGGUGAAAUGCGUAGAUAUUGGAAGGAACAUCAGUGGCGAAGGCGACUUCCUGGACCAUUACUGACACUGAGGCACGAAAGCGUGGGGAGCGAACAGGAUUAGAUACCCCUGUAGUC
rnacentral:rRNA from 1 species